rnacentral:rRNA from 1 species
UACGUAGGCAGCAAGCGUUGUUCGGAGUUACUGGGCGUAAAGGGUGUGUAGGCGGUUGUUUAAGUUUGGUGUGAAAUCUCCCGGCUCAACUGGGAGGGUGCGCCGAAUACUGAAUGACUAGAGUGCGGGAGAGGUGAGUGGAAUUCCUGGUGUAGCGGUGAAAUGCGUAGAUAUCAGGAGGAACACCGGUGGUGUAGACGGCUCACUGGACCGUAACUGACGCUGAGACACGAAAGCGUGGGGAGCAAACAGG